rnacentral:tRNA from 1 species
GGCUCGUUAGCUCAGUGGUUAGAGCGGCACACUUAUUGGAACGUGGCGGUCGUAGGUUCGAAUCCUACACGAGCCC